AUGCUUUCUAGAAGAAAAGUGUUNGGGGGCACAUACCAUCUACCAGCCCCGGAUCAGCUUUCUGGCUCAGGAAGCUGGCUGAUGCCAGAAGCGCAGCCUCUCGCUGCCCCCCGCACACCUUUGAGCUCCCCGCAGCACCCACACCUCCUGCCCCACUGUGAGCCCACCUUUCUUGAACUCCUCCAGCAUGGCGUCAAGCUUGGUGUCAUUGAAGACAAAGUGCAGCGGGUGGUUGUAGAAGCGGGUGAUGGUCUUGAGCAGAGUGCAGUCAUCAGGGUCCACAAAAGCCAGGUCCUUGACAAAGAGCAAGUCCACAAUGUUGGAGCGGUCACCCUCAAAAACAGGGAUGCGGGUGUAGCCGCUCUCCAUGAUCUCAGACAUGGUGUUGAAGUCCAGCACAGCCUCAGCGGCAAUCAUGAAGCAGUCUCGAAGCGGAGUCAUCACGUCCUCCACCGUCUUGGUGCGCAGCUCCAGGGCUCCCUGUAUGAUGUUGAGCUCCUCCUUGACCAGGUCAUUGUAAGGGUCGGUGACCCGCAGCAUCUCCAGCAACUUCUCACGGUUGUAGACCGUACCGAUCUCCUGGCCCAGCACGCAGUCCAGCAGCUUGCUGACCGGGUAGGAGGCCGGGAAGGUCAUCAUCAUGAAAAACUUGGUGAGGAAGAUGGUGUUGGCGCCCACGGCCAGGCCGUGCCGAGAGCAAAUGGCCUGCGGCACGAUCUCGCCGAAGAUGACGAUACCGAUGGUGGAGACCACCACGGCCACCAGCCCAGAGCCAGCGAUGUCGUCCAGCAGGAUGGUCAGCGUGGUGUUGACCAGGACGUUGCCCAGCAGGAGGGAGCACAGCAGGUAGUUGCCCUGGCGGCGCACGGGCUCGAUGCGCUUGGCGUAGUUCUUCUCUUUGUCGGUGCCGCAGUUCUGCACAAUGCGCAGCUCCAUGGGGUCCAGGGCCAUCAGGCCCAGGUUGAGGCCACUGAACAUGCCCGAGAGGCAGAGCAGCAGCGAGAUGAAGAUCACCUGCAGCCAGAAGGGCAGCAGGAACUUCUUCUCCUCGCCCACGAUCAUCUUGGUGUCCUCUCCGUCGUGGUAGAUCCAGGUGGUCUCGCCCCACGGCGGGGGGCCGUCCCGCCCCUCGGCGUCCACCAUCCUCCCGGCGGCCCCGGGCCCCAGGGCGGCGGCAGAGACAGAGGUGCACAGGUAGUAGGAUUUGCUCUUCUCCGUCUUGCGCAGGGGCUUGAUCUCGAUCUCGAUGAUGCCCGAGGUGCGGCGGUUGAGUACGAUGUGCGGCAGGAUGAUGAUGUCCGAUGUGCGGAUGCCGCAGCGCUGCGGGGCUCCGCCGCCGCCUCCCGCCGAACCGCCGCCGCCUCCGCCGCCGACGCGCCCCGCCGCCCCCGCCGCCGCCCGCCCGACCCGCCGCCGCUCGUGCUCCGUGAAGGCGAUGCGCGACCACGUCUCGUUGUUGAUGUUCUGCCCGUAGACCCGCAGCUUCACCCGCGUCCGCUCGCUCACCCGCAGCGCUCCCCCCUCCAUAAAGGAGACGUCGUCCGUGUCCUCCAGCCGCAGGCCAAUGAUCACCGUCUCCUCCGCCGAGGGGACGGAGGCGGCGGGCGGCGCGGCGGCGGCAGCGGAGGCCGGGGGCCGGCGGCCGAGGCAGGCGGCGAGCAGCAGCAGCAGCAGCUCCACCCGCGCCCCCCGGCCGCCCCCCGCCAUGUUCCCACCGGGCAGCGCGGCCAUGUUUAG
ensembl:lncRNA